rnacentral:rRNA from 1 species
GACGAACGCUGGCGGCGUGCUUAACACAUGCAAGUGGAGCGACGAACCGGGGGCUUGCCCCGGGGCAGAGCCGCGAACGGGUGAGUAACACGUGGGUAACCCACCUCGAUGACCGGGACAACCCGGGGAAACUCGGGCUAAUACCGGAUGUGCUCUUCUCUCUCAAGAGAGUUGAGGAAAGGUAGCUUCGGCCUCCGCAUCGAGACGGGCCCGCGGCCCAUUAGCUUGUUGGUGGGGUAAUGGCCACCAAGGCAGCGAUGGGUAGCUGGUCUGAGAGGACGAUCAGCCACACUGGGACUGAGACACGGCCCAGACUCCUACGGGAGGCAGCAGUGGGGAAUCUUGCGCAAUGCGCGAAAGCGUGACGCAGCAACGCCGCGUGGGGGAAGAC